rnacentral:SRP_RNA from 1 species
GCCAGGCACGGUGGCGCGUGCCUGUGGUCUCAGCUACUCGGGAGGCUGAGGUAGGAGGAUCACUUGAGCCCAGGAGUUCUAGGCUGUAGUGCGCUAUGAGGAUCGGGUGUCCACACUAAGUUCGGCAUCAAUAUGGUGACCUUCCGGGAGCAGGGGACCACCAGAUUGCCUAAGGAGGGGUGAACUGGCCCAGGUCGGAAACAGAGCAGGUCAAAACUCCCAUGCUGAUCAGUAUUGGGAUCGUGCCUGUGAAUGGCCACUGCACUCCAGCCUGGGCAAUAUAGUGAGACCCCGUCUCU